rnacentral:rRNA from 1 species
CCUACGGGAGGCAGCAGUGAGGAAUAUUGGUCAAUGGACGGAAGUCUGAACCAGCCAUGCCGCGUGCAGGAUGACGGCUCUAUGAGUUGUAAACUGCGUUUGUAGGAGGGUAAACACCCCUACGUGUAGGGGCUGGAAAGGAUAAUACGAAUAAGGAUCGGCUAACUCCGUGCCAGAAGCCGCGGUAAUACGGAGGAACCAAGCGUUAUCCGGAUUUAGUGGGUUUAAAGGGUGCGUAGGCGGGUUGAUAAGUAAGAGGUGAAAUCCCGGGGCGCAACACCGGAACUGCCUCUAAUACUGGUGACCUCGAGCGUAGUUGCGGUCGGCGGAAUGU